rnacentral:rRNA from 1 species
UACGAGAGGCCCAAACGUUAUUCGGAUUUACUGGGCGUAAAGGGCUCGUAGGCGGCCAACUAAGUCCGACGUGAAAUCCCCAGGCUUAACCUGGGAACUGCGUCGGAUACUGGUUGGUUUGAAUCCGGGAGAGGGAUGCGGAAUUCCAGGUGUAGCGGUGAAAUGCGUAGAUAUCUGGAGGAACACCGGUGGCGAAGGCGGCAUCCUGGACCGGCAUUGACGCUGAACAGCGAAAGCCAGGGGAGCAAACGGG